rnacentral:rRNA from 1 species
AUUUGACCUCAAAUCAGGUAGGAGUACCCGCUGAACUUAAGCAUAUCAAUAAGCGGAGGAAAAGAAAAUAACAAUGAUUCCCCUAGUAACUGCGAGUGAAGAGGGACAAGCUCAAAUUUUAAAUCUGUUAGGUUUACCUAACCGAGUUGUAAUUUGAAGAGGCGUUUUCUGUGUUUUUGAUCAGCCCAAGUCCUUUGGGAUAGGGCAUCAUGGAGGGUGAGAAUCCCGUUCGGUUGAUCAGAUUCGCUUUACGAUACGUCAUCUAAGAGUCAAGUUGUUUGGGAUUGCAGCUUAAAAUGGGAGGUAAAUUUCUCCUAAGGCUAAAUAACGGCGAGAGACCGAUAGCGAACAAGUACCGUGAGGGAAAGAUGAAAAGAACUUUGAAAAGAGAGUUAAACAGUACGUGAAAUUGUUGAAAGGGAAACGAUUGAAGCCAGUCGUACCUUCGGGUAAUCAGCCUUUCGGGUGCGAUUCUGUGGAGCGUGAGGAGUUAAACGCCUUCAUGCCUGCAUAUUCGUGCACUUUGGGUGUACUUGCCCGUGUGGUAGGUUAACAUCAAUUUCGGAUAUCAUAAAAUGGCUGGAGGAAUGUAGCUUCGGUCUCGUACUGAAGUGUUAUAGCCUCUGGUAGAUGUGAUGACCGGGAUUGAGGAUUGCAACGAAUACCUUUUGGGCUACCCGCCUGAUCUCUGAAAGUUGCUCUGGUGCCGAAAGCUUGCUUACGGUUAUCAAAGUUGACGUUCAAAAGGUUAGAACGGGUUAAAUUCGUUAAGGAUGUUGACGUAAUGGCUUUAAACGACCCGUCUUGAAACACGGACCAAGGAGUCUAACAUAUGUGCGAGUGUUU